AGCACCUCAGCGAAUCUCCAUCCUUCACUGGAGCCAGCACAACUGAGUACAGGCACUUCCCUCCGUUCAGUCCCAGGGUACAUGAGAAGGGGAUGAAGAAAGAGAUGUGCAUCCAUCUGUGAUCCAAACUUUCUGGAUAAAUUCAGUUUUUCCAGUGAAAGACAAAUGAACAAGCUCAUACUGCUCUGAAUAGCAACAAGGCGACUGCUUGCCAGCCUGUAAAAUCUGGUAUUGUCCCUCCUGGAGUCAGAGCUUGACCUUAAGAAAAUUCCUGCCAGUUUCUCCGAGGGAACAUGUCCCUGUGCUGCUGCAGAAGCCUGUUUGCCACAGGGAGACAGGCAGAACAACGGGCGCAGGAGGAAAUCUCUGAAUCACAAAGAUGUCACCCAAGGAGCGGCGUGCCGCCAGUUUCUGCUCAGCGCUAUUUUUUCCCACAACGUACCAUUUUCACUGCACCCUUGUUCUGAAAAAAAGUGCAGAGAGAAGAGUCACCAACCACCCCCUCCACUCUGAGGGACACUGGCAAGCAAACCAAAGGAGGGAUGAGCGGGACCAUGUCAGAAAAGAUGUCAGAAGACUGGCCAAAACCAGCCAAAGCCCCCAAACUGCUCGUGGUUUCACCCUGGUUAAUAUGGGAUGAUGCCUUGCUCCUGCAGCCACAACCAGCUUAGCUGAGGGAGUGCAGAGAUAAGAGCAGGGCUUGAGAACCAGCUCCGAAGAGCCAUAAAAAUCACAAGCACAGAAGAGAGAAAAUCUCCAUUAAAGUCAGAGCAUAAUUAUAACUCACUCGUUGGCUGGGGGCUUUGCAGCCCGAGUCGCUGGAGAUUGCCCUGCCCUCCCCUGGGAGCUCCCUGGAUCUGCCAGAGUUUUGAAGCGAGAGCAAAGGUGCCUGAGCCCCCAACUGCUCGACACAGAAGUGGAGAUAAUUCCCUAGAUGGGGGUGAGGAGACAAGUUUCGGCACAACAAGGGAUUUCUUGGGAGCCUGCCUGGGGGAGGAAGCACAGACCGGGCAGUUGUCAACCCAGCGUCCUUCGGUCUAGCUCCGCUCGCUCAAGAAAAGGGGAUGCUUCUUAAACCCUCUGGAAGGAC